AGAACGAACGCUGGCGGCAUGCCUAAUACAUGCAAGUCGAACGAGAUCUUCGGAUCUAGUGGCGCACGGGUGCGUAACGCGUGGGAAUCUACCCUUGGGUUCGGAAUAACAGUUGGAAACGACUGCUAAUACCGGAUGAUGACGAAAGUCCAAAGAUUUAUCGCCCAGGGAUGAGCCCGCGUAGGAUUAGCUAGUUGGUGAGGUAAAGGCUCACCAAGGCGACGAUCCUUAGCUGGUCUGAGAGGAUGAUCAGCCACACUGGGACUGAGACGCGGCCCAGACUCCUACGGGAGGCAGCAGUGGGGAAUUUGGACAAUGGGGAACCCUGAUCCAGCCAUCCCGCGUGUGCGAGUGAAGGCCUUCGGGUUGUAAAGCA
rnacentral:rRNA from 1 species